rnacentral:rRNA from 1 species
CCUACGGGAGGCAGCAGUGAGGAAUAUUGGUCAAUGGGCGCUAGCCUGAACCAGCCAAGCAGCGUGAAGGAUGAAUGCCCUAUGGAUUGUAAACUUCUUUUGUAUGGGAAUAAAGUGAAGCUUGUAUACCUCUUUGCAUGUACCUUAUGAAUAAGGAUCGGCUAACUCCGUGCCAGCAGCCGCGGUAAUACGGAGGAUCCGAGCGUUAUCCGGAUUUAUUGGGUUUAAAGGGUGCGUAGGCGGGUUGUUAAGUCAGUGGUGAAAGUUUGCGGCUCAACCGUAAAAUUGCAGUUGAUACUGGCAGCCUUGAGAAGAGUAGAGGUAGGCGGAAUGCGUGGUGUAGCGGUGAAAUGCUUAGAUAUCGCGAAGAACUCCGAUUGCGAAGGCAGCCUGCUGGACGGUAACUGACGCUGAUGCACGAAAGUGUGGGUAUCGAACAGGAUUAGAUACCCGGGUAGUC